UUAUUGCUGUACAAUAUGUACAAUGUGUAUAACCUUGCUAAACUGUUUAACCAACUCACAGGUGAAAAUUAACAAACGAAUGGCAGCAAACACCAUGAAGGCAAGGAAAAAACAAAUUGUAGGUUAUCUGGAAGACAGCAUCCAUAAGAGACAACUGAAUCUACAUCAAUCAAUGGAACAGAGAAGUUACCCACUUCUGUUUCCUGCCCAGUAAAGCUUACCCAAGGGUGACGACCAGCAGCAAGGGUAACCUAUAACAUGAAUGGACAGUACUGUGUAGUAACUAAUUACAAUAUGUUUAUAUAUAAAGGCCUCAGUGGUAGUGUCACUAC